GCCGGCCGGAGCGCCCGGAGCGUGGGGCGCAGCUCGCCAGCCCCGAGCAGCAGGAGCGCUGCGAGCCGCGCGCUUACUUAUACAGGAAGCGCAGGCGCGGCACUUCCUACUUGGCAUCUGGGUCGCACUUGGAGAGCAGGGGCUGAAUGUGAAUGUGGGGAUUGACUCCAAAGGGGCACCAGGCAGCUUUUGCGGUCGGUGACUAGAGGCAGCCUAAAACUGAAUGGCAGUGCUGUUUGCAUGAUUGCAGAAGUUUACUGAAAGUCUUCCAACUGUGCACUUAAAAUGGGUAAAAUUUCUGCAUUUGUCAGCACUGAUAGACAUCAGGUAAACCUGCUGCCCACCUACAAAUCCAAGAGAAAAACAUAUUCUUGCAUAUCCAGAGUGCCUCUGCCUGAUUCCCUGAAACCUUGAAGUGCCAGGAGCUGGAACUAUUUUUAAAUGGGAGCAACUGCUAAAACAGAUCCCCCUUCGGCCCUCUUCACUUUGCAUCUAAGUGCCAGCCAUAUGGAACUCUUUUCAGGCACUCCAAGUUUCUCCUCUGGCUCUCCAUGUUCCCAUGCUAUUCUCCCCACCGUUUUCCCCUGAUGAACAGCUCCCCAUGCUCCAAAAUGUCACUCAAGGGGACACACCCUCUCCGCAUCCACCUGCCUCCUCCCCCAUAAGACUAGAUGGCCUCCUCCAUCAAUGGUCUUCCAUCGUCAGCAUGGUGCUCUUACUCUGAGUGACGGAACUCACUCAGCAAACAUUUAUUAGGCUCCUAUUACCUACUCCAUUCAUUAUUAGGUGUUGGCAGUACAAAAAUAAAUAAAACACACAACAUUUCACAUGAUGUAGGAAAAGUCAGAUGUGUAUGCAGGUCAGAGCAGUGCCACGUGGACCCAGGAAGGAGCUCUGUGAGCCCUGCCCUGCAGCACAAGGAGAGUCUGGGCAAGAAGUAUGGGAAGCCACAGAGAGGAAGCUGGAUGAAAGGAACCACGUGAGCAAAUCUAAAGAGAGGGACAGAAGAUAAGUUGUACUGAAAGCAGAAAACAUUUCCCCAGCUAAGGCAUUCCAACAAAAAACAAAAACAAAAAAACCUCAACUUUAAAACGACUCACUAAAAACUAAAAAUAAAUAAAAAAUAAAAAUAAAACAACUCACU